UCGGGGGAUUAGGGUUCGAUUCCGGAGAGGGAGCCUGAUAAACGGCUACCACUUCUACGGAAGGCAGCAGGCGCGAAAAUUAUCCAAUCCUGACUCAGGGAGGUAGUGAAAGAAAUAAUGAACUAGGAUUUAUCCUGGGAUCACAAUGGGCUUGAUUUGCAAACACUUUGCGAGGAACAAUUGGAGGGCAAGUCUGGUGCCAGCAGCCGCGGUAAUUCCAGCUCCAAUAGAGUAUAUAAACGUUCCUGCAGUUAUUCGAUGCUCGUAGUUGGAUUUCUGGAGUUGAGACGGGAGGGUGGCUAUGGCCAUCGCCCGACUCUUUCUUCAUCCACCUGUUUGCGAAUCCCGGGAUUGAUUUCUCGGUUUCGGGCGCAGGUAUCUUACUAUUUCAAUAUUUUGUAAUCUUCAUCGAUUAUGUAUGUUUCUUUGAGCAAAUUAUAGUGUUUCAGGCAGGCGUGCGCCGGAAUACAUUAGCAUGGUAUAAACGAAUUGGACCGUGUGCCUGUAACAGGGCUUUUCCUUAUUUGUUGGUUUGAAGGACACGGAGAUGGUUAAUAGGGACAGAAUUUAUUUCAGGGGGAGGCACUAGUAUUUAAUUUCCAGAGGUGAAAUUCUUUGAAAUAUUAAAGACUAACUUAUGCGAAAGCAUUUAUUGCCAAUGAUGUUUUCAUUAAUCAUUGAACGAAAGUUAGGGGAUCAAAGACGAUCAGAUACCGUCCUAGUCUUAACCAUAAACGUUGCCGACUAGGGAUCGGAGGGCGUGCACAUUCCGCCUUCGGCACCUUACGAGAAAUCAAAGUCUUUUGGGUUCUGUGGGUAGUAUGGUCGCAAGGCUGAAACUUAAAGGAAUUGACGGAAGGGCACCACCAGGAGUGGAGCUUGCGGCUCAAUUUGACUCAACACGGGAAAUCUUACCAGGUCCAGACAUAGCGAGGAU
rnacentral:rRNA from 1 species